rnacentral:rRNA from 1 species
CCUACGGGCCGCACCAGUGGGGAAUAUUGCACAAUGGGCGCAAGCCUGAUGCAGCCAUGCCGCGUGUAUGAAGAAGGCCUUCGGGUUGUAAAGUACUCUCAGCGAGGAGGAAGGCGAUAAGGUUAAUAACCUUGUCGAUUGACGUUACCCGCAGAAGAAGCACCGGCUAACUCCGUGCCAGCAGCCGCGGUAAUACGGAGGGUGCAAGCGUUAAUCGGAAUUACUGGGCGUAAAGCGCACGCAGGCGGUCUGUCAAGUCGGAAGUGAAAUCCCCGGGCUCAACCUGGGAACUGCAUUCGAAACUGGCAGGCUAGAGUCUUGUAGAGGGGGGUAGAAUUCCAGGUGUAGCGGUGAAAUGCGUAGAGAUCUGGAGGAAUACCGGUGGCGAAGGCGGCCCCUGGACAAAGACUGACGCUCAGGUGCGAAAGCGUGGGGAGCAAACAGGAUUAGAUACCCCGGUAGUC